UACGCAAUACAGCGUGUUGUCUGAAGGAAACGGACAAGUAAACGGAAGAGAAGAACAACUUUCACGUUAGCGUUUUUAUUUAGACGUUUUAACGUCCUGGAACUCAAAAUAUGAUUAAUUUAACUGCACAUCCCAUGUUGUGUUUAGUUCGAGUUGGAGACAGGAUUUGUUUGAUAGCUAACUAGCUAGCUGCUCAAGUUAGCCAACAAUGGCUAACUGUAUGAUUUUUCACACUCAAAUAGCCUCCAUCAUGGAGGUUCUAGCGAAUGCAGCCGUGGCAGAGAUCUGUAAACUCGUAGAUGACGACUAUGCAGUGUUUCGUUUGGAAAUAACUCAAAGCCAGAAAGAAAACAGAGCAUUACGGAGAAAACUGCUGGAAUCGAAGGUGGCACGGGAGCGCGCAGAAAGGACAGCCCGAGAGCGCGUCCUCGCCAGUCGUCCCAGUAGUGUCAAGAUCCUCGACCGAUACAGAGGAAUGGCAAGAGGUGAAGGACAUCUCACUGGAGGCUACAGGACCUUUAUGAAGCCAGCGGGACACAAUGAAUGGAGAGAUGACCAACCAAUCACUGUUGAUGAGGGGAGUGGAACCUCAACCCAACACGUUAUUGUGAUAGAAUCUGCAGAGGCUGAAGGUCCUGGUGUCAAGCUAGAGAGGUCUGAAGGAGAGGAGGACCCACGGCACAGCAGAGACAUCCAGACUGGAACGGCUGACACGCCAUCUGUAGACAGAGAGGACCCCACCACCGCCCAAGCACAACCAAGGACCCGUCGCAGCAUCACGGAGGUCAGUGGAAUGCCAAACACCGUCCUCAAGUCAGAGACAGACACCAAGACUUUAACUGUAACACACAGUCUCUUACAAACAGGAUCUGAUCACAGAUCAGACCCAAAGAGACUGGGGCCGAGGAGACUGGGCUGUCUUCCUGCUCCCGGCUCAAAGUACUUACCAGUAUUUCACCAGAGCCAGAGAACGUUUAAUUCCCGUGGGGAUGGUGAUGGUAACGCUUUAGACACUGGCGGUGAUGAUUCAUCUUGUUCUUACGCUACAGAGAUGGGCCCUGGCAACAUAUCCUUGGGUUUAGAGACACAAACUGAUCUGUCUAGAGGGGACUGGAACCGGUACAGUAGUAGUGUAUACUCUGAAGGGUGCCUAGAUAAGAAAGGGGAGAGUCUGGUCGUAGAUGAGGUGACUGUGAAAGUGGAGGAUGACGUUCCUCCCACAUGGAAUGCAAAUAGUCACCUAGGAGACGGAAACUCACAGGGCAGAGAUGUCUUAGAUUACAGGGAAAGCUUAGAGACAAAUCUAAAUGUCACGACCCACUCCCCGUUACACACGUUCAGGGAUUGUGACCCAGUGUCCACAUUGAUGGGGCCUUCCGAUUUACACAGCCAUGUCCUUUUCGAUCAGGUAUUGAACUCAAAAGACAGGGCUAGAGCCCAGACUCAGGGAGGGGGAGCCACAUCAGGCAAUGGUAAAGAGAAACGGUUCCUCUGCAUGUUCUGUAACAAAGGCUUCAGCUGCCUCCAGAAGGUGGAGGUUCACCAGAGGAUCCACACAGGGGUGAAACCCUUCAGCUGUACCCAGUGUCACAUGCGCUUUGCCCAGGCUGGCACUCUGAAGAGGCACCAGAGGGUUCACACAGGGGUGAAACCCUUCAGCUGUACCCAGUGUCACAUGCACUUCGCCCAAGCUGGUGACCUGAAGAGGCACCAUUGGGUCCACACGGGUGAGAGACCCUACAGUUGCCCCCAGUGUGAGAAGAGAUUCACCCGCCAGCAUCAGCUAAAGAUGCACAUGAAGGUCCACACAGGAGAGAGGCCAUUUGCCUGUACGCACUGCGGGAAGACAUUCUCAGAGAUGAGCUAUCUCAGGAUACACCAGCAGAAAAAACAUUCCACGCAAUAGCUUCAGAUUUUUAGAUGUAUUAAAUAUAAAGAUUUAAGAAACAUUUUCAUUGUUGUCAGCAGAAAAAUACUCACAAAUGCAUUUGGAAUAAUGAGAGUAACAUAUUUCAGUAUUGAAUAUUUCUGGGUAGAAUACUGCAUCCAGACAUGAUUAUAUCUAUAUAUAUAUAUAUAUAUAUAUAUAUCUAUAUAUAUCUAUAUAUAUAUGUAUCUAUAUAUAUCUAUAUAUAUAUGUAUAUGUAUGUGUAUGUUUGUGCCUAAAAAGGUUAUUACAUAUUGUGUUUGUACUGUGCAGGCCAGGGAUGGGCAACUUUGAUGGGGGUGGGGGCCACAAAAUAUCAGAACUCAGUCAGAGCUGGCUCUAGCCUUUUGGGGGCCCUAAGCUACAUUUAGCAAGUAAAGCAUUUUAGCAGCCCCCUUAUUGACAGCAAAGAACAUUUUUUUUGUUUUAGAGUUAAUUUCCUGCAGUUCUACACAUUUUGCCAUGGGUUGAAGAGACGGGGUUAAUCCACAAACAAAAGGGGCGCUGUCAGUUGCCCAUCCCUGGUGUAGGCUAUAUGUGGCGCGCUCUAUCAUAAUCAGUCGGUAGUCGCAAUGACUAAUUUGCAUAUAAAUUGUGUUUUUGUCAAAAUGUAGACUUUUUGCUAUUUGGGGGUUUCAAUUGGUUUUAACAAAACAAUGUCUUUGCUUUCAUUAUCUGUAUGUAUUAUUGCCAAAUUCAGUAUACAUAUAGUUUUAGUCGUAUAAAUGUUGGAUGAAACGUAGCACUUUCCCAUCCGUUUGGUGGAUGCUAGCUUGUAACACACCAGGCUUUCGCGGCACUAGUUUAUCUGCACUAUCAAAACCCUCCUCUAUUCCGAAAUCAUGAAUGAAUUACAAAAUAGUUAGCUCGCUAUAUAUUUUGAAUCAAGCUACAAUAGGCUAUUCAAUCGAAUGAUUUUCCUGUUUUCCCAAUCAAAGCUACUGUAUUGUAUCAUCCUCGGGAAAAGAAAGUGUACCUCAGGCUACACUCUCUUGCACUUCAAAACCCAUCAUACAUAGUUACACUGUCACUACUGCCUACACCGUAGCUAGCUAGCGUAGCUUUCUACUGCGUUGAUGGAUUCCCGGGAGAGAGAAAUCGCUUGAUUAAAAAAAAAGAAAGUAAUGUUGUGCUGGGGGCUGGUUCAGACGAUCAGUGGCAUCAACUUAUUGCCGACUACCUUUUGACCCUGCGCCACAGAGCAACGUCAUAAGCGACUCUGACAAGCUCACUGAAGUCGAGUCCGAGCACCUUGAGGAGGCAACCCAUUAAUGGUGGAUCCGUCAAUUAAGGUGCUUCAGUCGGUUGAGGGGAAAUAUGGUGCUGGGCAAGAAAUUGAAAAGGCUUGUGAGUUCAAUAAAGGGAAGCCGUGAUAUUUUAUUUUUUACCCCUGAGGAGAUGGUCAAGAGACGUGACCAGAUGAAUUGGCUAACUCAACAAUGAUUAAAAACAUCUAGUGCUCAUUGGCGAGAUCUCUGGUUCCAUGAACCUCUGCAAGGAAACGGUCACCUCGAACAGGAACUAACAAAAAGGAAACAUCAGAGGACAUAUUUCUUUGAUAGCCAGAAAAUCUGCAGAGAAACCUUCAAGUUCCGACACGUCUGACUGCAGUGAUAAAGUUCUACAAGGAACAUGGUGAGGCUCCAAGGAAGAAGAGGUGUGGUGGUCUCGCCAGAAAACAGGUGCUGUCCUACGAGGACACUCGGCGAAUAGUCCACUAGGUCAACAACUUUGCCGAUGUCCAUGCGAUGCCUCUCCCAGGACAGAGCCCUGGAUUUAAGAGGGCAGACAUCCUGGUGCUUCUGACAUUUGAGACCAAGUCCUGUGUGUGUUACAAAAACGUUAAUGCGUGUUCAUGGAUGAGGAGGGUCCAGAGGUACUGCUGGUGAAGGAGGAGGGUUAUGAGGAGGAUCUGGGGAACCCUGAGGGGAUCAUGGUCAUGGAGGACAACCAGACUACACCUCCUCCUGAACCCACAGAGGAACCAACUAAGCAGCACAGGACCACACAGUGUCUCACUGAGGGUGCUCAUAUAAGAUUUCUUGAUCCAACAUCCUCUCACUCUGUAUCCAAUGGGAAGCCUGAUCUGCUGCUGGUCAAAAAGGAGACAAUAGAAGACGGGCCAGAUAGCAUUGAUCUGCUGAGUGGACUAAAGAUGGGGGAGCAAGGUGGUUGGCUAGAGGCUAACAAAGGACACUGGGCGGCCAUCUUGGAUUCAAAGACUGGUGCAGCCAAGAUCCCAGGGGACAACAUCACUGAGCAGGCCAGGGCCAGAGACAACAUAGUAGAGUCUACAGUCCAUGAGGACCUGCUGAUAUCUGGUAUUGAUGACGGGAGAGACUGGACCUCUGAGGUGGAUGAUCAUAAACCCUGGCCCCGGAUCAGAACCCUGGAUCAGGAGCCGUUGCUCUUCCUUCCUGAGUCGGAACCAGGACCAAACCAAGAGGGACAGAGACUCCACCACCACACAGAACACAACCAGUGGACAGGUGGACUGAACAACAGUCCUGGUGGUCAUCAGAGAGACAGAGGCUGCAGUCAGGGAUCCAGUCUGCAGCCCAGACCCUUCUCUUCACAGUCUCAGUGCAGGGAUGAAGCAGGGCCUGGGGCUGAUAGAGAUAGACCCUCAUGUUCCUAUGAUACAAACACCACAGUAUCCAUGAUGAACAGAGAAGGUCACCCUGGGCUUCAGCCUUCAGAGUUUGGUGGGAGACCCCCCUGGUGGUAGUCUGUCUUCUCUUUCAGGGUCACGUCUAAUGCCUGAUAACUGGGUUCAUAGAAAGCCUGGACCUGGGUCUAACCUUUCUCAGCUACCUCAUAGUUACCCCACUAAUACAGACAGGGUCAGGAUGGGUGUUCACCACGAGAUGUGGCUAGCCUAUAACACAGCACACAAUCCCAACAACACCCAAACAAUGGCUAGAGGUCAAGGAGGUAGCUCAAAUUCUACACCUGAGGGUGGUGGCUCCUGCUUCUACCUCCUCACAUAGUCACUGGAUCACAACGUGUGAGGCCGAGCAUUAGGACGGAGACAAGUGGCUUCACUUGAGCAAACUAUUUGAAAGAGCACCCGACCGUUCAACACAAGGAGAGGACCUUCUCGUUCCAACUAUGUUACAAGAGCUUCUCCUUCCUGACUAACCUUACCGGACAUAGUAGUGUCCACAAAGGUGAGAAAUGAUAGCAGUGUGGUUUGAGAUGUACACAGGGGAUGUCUGGGCACUAUUCAUUAGCUGACAUAUAGUUAUCAUGUGAAGUGUCUUAGGGUAAUAAGGUAAUUAACCACAUAACCCUCAUUGACCCUUUAUUAACUUGUCAUUUGAAACAGGGUUGUGUAAAUAAUUUUUUAGAGCGACAGUAAACCUAGGCUAGAACAACGAGAGUUGAAUAUUUAUCUUACUGAGGUGAUGUAGAUGGAAUAAAUUAAUUCUAAUAUU